rnacentral:tRNA from 1 species
GGGCGAUUAGCUCAGUUGGUAGAGCACCUCGUUUACACCGAGGGGGUCGGCGGUUCGAGUCCGUCAUCGCCCACCA